rnacentral:rRNA from 1 species
UGGGGAAUAUUGGACAAUGGGCGAAAGCCUGAUCCAGCCAUGCCGCGUGUGUGAAGAAGGUCUUCGGAUUGUAAAGCACUUUAAGUUGGGAGGAAGGGCAGUAAGCGAAUACCUUGCUGUUUUGACGUUACCGACAGAAUAAGCACCGGCUAACUCUGUGCCAGCAGCCGCGGUAAUACAGAGGGUGCAAGCGUUAAUCGGAAUUACUGGGCGUAAAGCGCGCGUAGGUGGUUCGUUAAGUUGAAUGUGAAAGCCCCGGGCUCAACCUGGGAACUGCAUCCAAAACUGGCGGGCUAGAGUAUGGCAGAGGGUGGUGGAAUUUCCUGUGUAGCGGUGAAAUGCGUAGAUAUAGGAAGGGACACCAGUGGCGAAGGCGACCACCUGGGCUCAUACUGACACUGAGGUGCGAAAGCGUGGGGAGCAAACAGG